rnacentral:rRNA from 1 species
AGCGAACACUGGCGGCAGGCCUAACACAUGCAAGUCGAACGAAGUCUUCGGACUUAGUGGCGGACGGGUGAGUAACACGUGGGAACGUACCUUUUGGUUCGGAACAACUCAGGGAAACUUGAGCUAAUACCGGAUGAGCCCUUAGGGGGAAAGAUUUAUCGCCGAAAGAGCGGCCCGCGUUAGAUUAGCUAGUUGGUGAGGUAAAGGCUCACCAAGGCUACGAUCUAUAGCUGGUCUGGGAGGAUGAUCAGCCACACUGGGACUGAGACACGGCCCAGACUCCUACGGGAGGCAGCAGUGGGGAAUCUUGCGCAAUGGGCGAAAGCCUGACGCAGCCAUGCCGCGUGAAUGGUGAAGGUCUUAGGAUUGUAAAAUUCUUUUACCAGGGACGAUAAUGACGGUACCUGGAGAAAAAGCCCCGGCUAACUUCGUGCCAGCAGCCGCAGUAAUAC